GCGACGGUCCAGACUCCUGGGAUCCUCGGCUGGGGCUCCUCUUCACCGUCUCCUUGAGCAGAACACAAACGUCACAGCAUUAGCAGAGAUCUUCCUCACUCAGAUGGAACACGAAAAAUGAAGGCAGAAUGGAAAGAAAAGAGACAGAGAAUUAUCAGACUCCUCCAAGAAUGAUGAGACAUCCUGGUCUUAAUAACAAGAUGAGGAACACAGUGGAAGGGGAACUAAACACAGAAAUCUGGGUUUCUCUGGUCUUCCCUGCUUGAGAUUUGUGACUAUUUUAGCAUAAUAAAAGACUUUGCAGCAGGAAAACACAAAGUAACAGACAAAAAAAAAAAAAAAUGCCCACAGAACAAUUAACCAUACAGAGACAUAAAGUGACCAAAAAGGGAUAAAAAAAACCCCACACAGACAUCCAAGAGGUGAAGAUGACACCUGAGGCAAAAUCCGAGGACAAUGAAACAAGAAGGAGACAUUUAAGAAAGCACAGAAAAUGGAGAAGACAAUCUUUAGAGGAACAAAAGCUGUAAAGGCCACAAGUAUAUAGUACCAGAAAAAAACAGCAAAAGAACAGAAAGUAUACAAUAGAAUAAAACAAAAUCAGACAAAAAAAGGCAAGAUGAGACAAAACGAAGAACCCAUUCACACCUGGUACUAACAUUCAUUCUUAGCAAUCUAAUCAUGUCCUGACAGUGUUUUCCUCAGACCACCCUGGGAGGUAGUCUGGGCCACUGGUAUCUUCAUUAGUUUAACGAUCUAAUCCAUUCUGAGAGACACUGAAGGACCUCCCACUGACCUGGUGUCUCCCCUCAGCCAGCAGCGUCAUCUAGGUGCCGUCUAUAAACAGCAGAUACAGCAGCUGGGUGCUAUCUGAGGGAUUAUUCUAAAGGUGCACUUCAAAACACAGAUGGUAUCAUAAGGAAAGAACGCCAUGUGGAAACUGAAGCAACAUCUCGAGACAUUUACAAAGAAAGUUAAGCUCUUCCAAACGGACCCUGUGCAUACCAUCAAGUUAGUUACAAACAUCGUGACAAUAAGAUCAGCCAUCACAAAGCCCUAAUCUCAGUCCUAUAGAAAAUAAUAGCUUAGAUUGAGUGAUUGAAUGUAUGUGUGUUUAUUUGCCUGUAAAGCUGGUAACGAAGAUCUGAUUACCUAAAACAGACUUUAAUGCUAGAUGUGGUCAUGCCUAAUGAUGUCUACUUCUAUCUGAAUCAGUCAGGACACAUGUCAGUACCAGGUCUGAACAGGGCCAUAGAUCAAAUUUAAGUCAAGCUUUUUUUUUUUUU